AAGGUCAUAUCUUAAACACUCGUGAGAUCACUGGAAUCUCUGUAGCAGUUGUGGCUGUCGUGAUAGGAACAACCGCUGUCAUAAUCCUCAUUGUCUGCAAGAAUCAGGGUCUUAAAAUCACGAUGCCGAAACUGAGCGACCUGCCUCGACUGCCCAGGUUCCCGAGUAAGGGCCCUAGACCAACGGCACACGUCACACCCGGCUUCUUCUUUCAGCCGCACACGUCAGCACACAUUGAUCCAGGAUUUGCUAAUCCUCUUUACGACACGGCGACACCUCUGGAUGACAAUGUAUGUUACUUAGCAUGUCAAUGAAGCAUCCUUAAUAGUUUGUUAUUUCCCAUUCAUUGAUGCCGAGCUUAUAGUAGUAAUGUUGAGUUGAAUAAUUAUAGUCAAACUGAUUUUCCAGUUGUUUGGUCAAAUAAAAUGUAUCUUAUCUUAUCUUAAUACUUCACUUUACUGCAGUUGAAACAUUAUGGCAGUGGGCAGUUUCUAAACGGAAAUAUCAAGGGUCGGUGACUCCAAGAACACGAGGACCUCAAACUACACUGCCACUGCCACCACUACUGCCAAUGUCACCAUCACACCACUGCCACUGUUACCACCACACCACUGCCACUGUUACCAUCACACCUCUGCGUUGGCCACCACCAAUGCCGCUGCUACCACCAUCGCCACUGACACUACUACCGCCACUGACACCACUACCGCCUCGGCCACAAUUACAGCAAGAGUCUCCAUUCUAUAUUAAUUCAAUGUCGCUAAAACUCUUUUUAAAUUGGAGAAUGGGGAGGGAAAAACGAUUCACAAAUUUAAAAUAAUAAUGACAACGCUAAGCAUCAGUUUGUACAACUAAAGCCCCACUCACCUCUAGCUAACAAUAAGCAUCAGUUUGUACAACUAAAGCCCCACUCA
rnacentral:sRNA from 1 species